CUGCUUACCUGGCAGGGGAGACACCGUGAUCAAGGAAGUGGUUUUUCUAGGCUGAGGCUCAUCUCUUGCACAUGGAACUUCCCUAAAUGCAGGAAAUUCGUCUGCAUAAGUCAUGGUAGUUGGGGACUACAUUUACACUCUUCCCUGG
rnacentral:snRNA from 1 species